CAGUCGCCGCGGGAAUACGUAGGUCCCGAGCGUUGUCCGGAUUUAUUGGGCGUAAAGGGAGCGCAGGCGGUUUAGUAAGUCUGAAGUUAAAGGCAUUGGCUCAACCAAUGUAUGCUUUGGAGACUGUUAGACUUGAGUGCAGAAGGGGAGAGUGGAAUUCCAUGUGUAGCGGUGAAGUGCGUAGAUAUAUGGAGGAACACCGGUGACGAAAGCGGCUCUCCGGUCUGUCACUGACGCUGAGGCUCGAAAGCGUGGGUAGCAAACAGGAUUAGAUACCCCAGUAGUCCCUGUCUCUUAUACA
rnacentral:rRNA from 1 species